UGGAUUACAGGUGUGUACCAUCAUAGUCAGCUCAUUCUAGGGGCUAGAGGCAUAUCAGUGCUCUUGUGUCCUCUGCCACCCUAUGCUCCGUGAUCAAGAAACUCCUGCUGGGCAAGUCAUCACCUCACCACGCAGACGCUCAAAGUAAUACCAGGGGUACCUGCUCUUCGUGACCCAGGCUAGAAGCUGCUCCCCAACUGCUGGCAAGUGCUGACUGACCCAUGUGGGUCUGGCUACCUUGUUUGGAGAGUCACAGAGACCCCUGUUUUCCUUCCUCCUUGUCUCCUCAUGAGGGAAGAGUUUCUCCUGCCAGGAGGCAAGUCCUGGGAGGUGCUUUACUCUGUUCCACACUGGAAGCCUGUCUGCUUGUCCUUCAUUCUGUGGACCUCGCCGAAGGAGCCUCUGCCCACCCGAGGCUGGUGUGUCAUCCAGUGGACCUCUUCUCGAUACUCAUAAUCCACUGGCUUGAGUUUCUGGGGUUGAAGAGGAGGAGGAGGAGGUCUGAUGGGGUCAGUGCAUCUUCUCCACCAGACACUCAGCCAUAGUGCUGGGCCCUCUGGACUAUCAGCUCAAACUAACCUUUCUUCAAAUUCACUGACUUAUGCCUUGUGUCAUGGCAACAGAAUCCCCCGAUUACACAGUCCCCGACUCAUGCCCAGCCUGGCAGCCAGGACAACAAGGAGGACCUACUGAGAAGCUGACCCAGCAGAUGGCAGCUGGACCCAAGAGUGGCUGACCCUCACUCUCCCCG
rnacentral:lncRNA from 1 species